rnacentral:rRNA from 1 species
UACGUAGGGUGCGAGCGUUGUCCGGAAUUAUUGGGCGUAAAGAGCUCGUAGGCGGUUUGUUGCGUCGGCCGUGAAAUCCUGCGGCUUAACCGUGGGCCUGCGGUCGAUACGGGCAGACUUGAGUUCGGUAGGGGAGACUGGAAUUCCUGGUGUAGCGGUGAAAUGCGCAGAUAUCAGGAGGAACACCGGUGGCGAAGGCGGGUCUCUGGGCCGAUACUGACGCUGAGGAGCGAAAGCGUGGGGAGCGAACAGG